GGCGAACGGGUGAGUAACACGUGGGUGAUCUGCCCUGCACUCUGGGAUAAGCCUGGGAAACUGGGUCUAAUACCGGAUAGGACCAUGCUUUAGUGUGUGUGGUGGAAAGUUUUUCGGUGUAGGAUGAGCCCGCGGCCUAUCAGCUUGUUGGUGGGGUAAUGGUCUACCAAGGCGGCGACGGGUAGCCGGACUGAGAGGUUGGUCGGCCACAUCGGGACUGAGAUACGGCCCAG
rnacentral:rRNA from 1 species